CCCUGUUUGAAGUAGUUUGGUGUGCAUGUUUCCUAUUCAAAGUAACGGAAGAAAAGGGUUAUAAAGGUACACAUUGAAUGAAAUGACUACUGUAUAAACUCCAAUGUACAUAUUUAUGCGUCGCUUACCACUAAUGUGAUGGGGAUUCGGAGACACUGGCAUUUUAGAUCCUGCAGAGAAAAGACCUGAGCCCUAGGACCAUGCCUCAGGACUACCUGACAUGAUGACUCCUUGCUGUCCCCAGUCCACCUGGCUGUGCUGCUGCUCCGGUUUCAACUGUUCUGCCUGUGAUUAUUAUUAUUUGACCAUGCUGGUCAUUUAUGAACAUUUGAACAUCUUGGCCAUGUUCUGUUAUAAUCUCCACCCACCCGGCACAGCCAGAAGAGGACUGGCCACCCCACACAGCCUGGUUCCUCUCUAGGUUUCUUCCUAGGUUUUGGCCUUUCUACAGAGUUUUUCCUAGCCACCGUGCUUCUACACCUGCAUUGCUUGCUGUUUGGGGUUUUAGGCUGGGUUUCUGUACAGCACUUUGAGAUAUCAGCUGAUGUACGAAGGGCUAUAUAAAUACAUUUGAUUUAAUUUGCAUGUAUCGUUUAUACUUGUGUUCAGUGUAGCUAUCUCCGUCUAUGAACACCUGUGUUUAAAUGGAAGACAGUCACCACAAAUGUGUCACUGAAAAAUACUUUUGGCUGCAACUGUGUUAAAACCGGUUAAAACAGUGUACAGUAAGUGUGUAUUUUGCGUUUGUAAAAUAAUUUUGAUAUAUGAAAGUAGAGGGAUUUAUGACUAGAACCAUACCACAAUUGAGAAUCAAUUCAAGUUUAGAUGGAGUGUUUUGCUUUUUUGGCAACUAGAGCCAAUUCGCCCUUUAAACAGAACAUGUAAGGUCCUUGGACUAACACCAAAACUAAACCGUCUGUGCGCGUGCGCCAUCAUGCAUAAAUGUAUUUUGUCAACCCACAACAAACACGAUCACGAUACGCAGAUUAAAAUAUCAAAACAAACUGAACCAAUUACAUUAAUUUGGGGACAGGUCGAAAAGCAUUCAACAUUUAUGGCAAUUUAGCUAGCUUGCACUUGCUAGCUAAUUUGUCCGAUUUAGCUAGCUUGCGGUUGCUAGCUAAUAUAUCCUGGGAUAUAAACAUUGAGUUAUUUUACCUGAAAUGUACAAGGUCCUCUACUCUGACAAUUAAUCCACACAUAAAACGGUGAACCCAAAUCGUUUCUAGUCACCUCUCCUCCUUCUGGGCUUUUUCUUCUCUUAACUUAAUAUUGCGAUUGGCAACUUUCAUAAAUUAGCUGCAUUACCGCCACUGACCUCGUUCAUCUUUCAGUCACCCAUGUGGGUAUAACCAAUGAAGAGAUGGCACGUUGGUACCUACUUCUAUAAACCAAUGAGGAGAUGGGAGAGGCAGGACUUGCAGCGCGAUCUGCGUCACAAAUAGAACUGACUUCUAUUUUAGCCCUUGGCAACGCAGACGCUCGUUGGCACGAACGAGCAGUGUGGGUGCAAUAAUUGAAUAAUAUAGAUUUCCACAUUUAUUUUGCAACGUGAGUGGUGUAGUCAGCCUGUAAGGAGUAAAGUUAGGCUCCUUUAGUCCAAUAUUGGGCUAGGCCUUUCAUACACUCUGUCUGUCUUUCUAUGGAUGUAAUGUCUGUGGGUGUAUUAUGAAACUAUUAGUGUAUGCAGAUGAGCAAAAAAAUGGUGCUGUAGAUUUGUUUUUGCCAUUGCUUGAUAUAUUUUAAAUGUGAGAAUAUGUUGCACUUUUAAGUUGAAUUGGUGCCUAUGAAAAAAAUGUGAAAUGUAAUGAACAAUGUUUUCAAUAUCCAACUUAUUCCUCUGCAAUACUUUUUACAGUAGGUAACAGGUGGAAAAAGUUCUCAAUUGUCAUUCUUGAGAAAGUAAAGAUACUUUAAUAUAAAAUGACUAAAGUAAAAGUAACCCAGUAAAAUACUACUUGAGUAAAAGUAUCAGAUUUCCACCAGAUCAGGGGCAGUAGGGAUGACUAGGGACAUUAUCUUGAUAAGUGUGCGAAUUUGACCUUUUUGCUAAGCAUUCAAAUUGUAACUAAUACUUUUGAGUGUCAGGGAAAAUGUAUGGAGUAAAAAGUACAUCAUUUUCUUUAGGAAUGUAGUGAAGUAAAAUUAAAAGUAGUUAAAAAUAUAAAUAGUAAAGUACAGAUACCCCCAAAAACGACUUAAGUGAAAAUACUUAAGUACUUUACACCACUGAGUAAAAAGCUGUAGUCAGGUGGUCAUUACCAGGUUAUGAUGAGGUUUUAACUAUGACCAGUACAUCAUAUAGCCCAUAAUAAAGUGGUCAGGAUUAUGACCAGCUUGGUCAUAUGGCGGUUAGAGAAAGACCUCAUAAAAACGUCAUUUUUCAACCAGUUUGCGACUGACAUCUUUUCAACCAGGUUCUGCCCACUGGGUCACCUGAUAAGUAUGCGUGCAUGAGCAUUGCAAAAUAAGUUGACAUGUUAUUCAAUCAUUUCCCCCACACCGCUUGCGCUCGUGUAUGCGUAACCAAGGGCUAAAAUAGAACUUGGUUUUAUUUGAGGCGCUGCAAGUCCCCUCCUUAUUGGAUAGCAAGUCCACUCCUUACUGGAUAUCAGGAAGAUACAAGCCCACAUGGAUGCUUGAAAGACAAUCAAGGAGAGAUUAAUUAAAGAUAAACUAAACUAAAAAUGUACUUUUUCCCUCUUUUAUCUGUGGAUUAAUCGUUGGAGUAGAGAAGCACAGCUUUGUAUGACUCCAGGUCAAAAUUCUACAAAGAACCAGCUAAAAAGAGGACCAUAUUCAUGUCAGAUUAAAUAACCACCCAAUUUACAUCUUCCAGGUAAAUGUAUGGACAUUUGCUUUCUGGCCCGGGCGUCAGUCAAACUGCAGUACUGAAGCAAGACUAAAGAAUCAGUCGAAACAGUGCUUCUAGACGGGAACCCGAGCCCCUUGGUGUGGAUCAGGGAUGGACAACUCCAGUGUGUUAGCUGGGCCUGGGGCAAAUGUGUGACACCCUACAGGCCCCGGAGGACUGAAGUUUCCCCAUCCCUGAAAUAGAUGAUUGUUGCGACUGUCAAUGAAAAGUAGAGGCCAAGCCUGGCAUAUUGCAAUAUUUCAAAAUACAAUCGCGGGAAAACAUAGUUCAGAAUGCAAAUGGCUAGAGGGAAAAUGGUAAAGAGAAGACAAUGGAAAUACCUAUUCCUCUUCUCAACUUAAUUUAGCGAACAGUAGGCUAUAGCCUAUCAUACUGGCACCAUGCAGCAAAGCGCAUCGGUCAUAUCCCCGGUGAGCACUCAUAUUCAUUCUAUAUCAUUGUUGGGUCAGUGCCACAUAAAAGUUUGUUUUUGGAUGGACAUCAUACUGUAUUUGUGUCUCCCCUUCUCGUCAACCUAUUAUAGGGACCAGACAAUGUCGUUUUUAUAGAUAUGUUUGUCAGUGUCAGCAGAGUAGGCUUCCCUGUAAUCAGUGGAGGCUGGUGACUAGAACCAUUUAGGAGGAUGGGAGACCCACAGUAUAGGGGCAGAAUGCACAGAGAUGACAAAGUGUAUUUCAAAAAUAGUCAAAGACUAAUUCUUUUAAACUAAAGCAUUUAAUAAAGACAUUUAAAAUACAAUAUUAUGGGGAAUAGGAAUGAGAGGUCGCCUUACACCAUUUUGGAAAGGGAUCACAGCAGUGAUUGAAUGACGGUAUGAGGCAUGAGUUGUGUUCAGAGGCUUGACCAAUGCAGGACAGGAUUUGACUGGGAAGACAAAAAAAUAUAAGACAACACACUAUACAGUUAGACAAAAGAGCUAAGAAUGAGUUAGUCCAAGCAAGGAGUAAAAUCAUUGAUAUGUAAUAAUGUGACUGUGUAAGUGAUUGACUCUACAUGCAGUAAUGAGAGAAAAUUGAUAGGGUACUCACAGUGCUUGGAGGGGAAACAUUCAAUGUGCCAGUGGAUGAGCAGGCACAUGAGACUUGGCUUCAGUUCAUGCCAAAAGAAAGUUGACAAUGGUAGUGGAGGGGACUUAGCUGUAAAUACAAAUGGCAGAUACAUUCCAUUACAGCAGCGCCAUCAUAGAUUUGGACAACGAGUUUCUCUAUGAACUUUUUAAUUUUUAAUUUCACCUUUAUUUAACCAGGUAGGCUAGUUGAGAACAAGUUCUCAUUUACAACUGCGACCUGGCCAAGAUAAAGCAUAGCAGUGUGAACAGAUAACAACACAGAGUUACACAUGGCGUAAACAAUAAACAAGUCAAUAACACAGUAGAAAAAAAAGAAUCUAUAUACAUUGUGUGCAAAAGGCAUGAGGAGGUAGGCAAAUAAUUACAAUUUAGCAGAUUAACACUGGAGUGAUAAAUGAUCAGAUGGUCAUGUGCAGGUAGAGAUACUGGUGUGCAAAAGAGCAGAAAAGUAAAUAAAAACAGUAUGGGGAUGAGGUAGGUGAAUUGGGUGGGCUAUUUACCGAUCGGUUAGCUGCUCAGAUAGCAGAUGUUUAAAGUUGGUGAGGGAGAUAAAAGUCUCCAACUUAAACUCAGACAUCUCAAAAUUCAUAAAGUCAAACGCAGAUUGCGCAUCUCGCCCACUUGACACAUUAAAGUAGCCCAAGAAACGUUCCUGAAUAAAGCCCUGACCAGCCACAUACCUGAAGAUAACUGACAACUGCAAGCAAACUGGUGCAGGUCCCAGAGCGGUGGGGCAAUUUUUAACAGUUGUAGAGACUGAAAAAUUGUCUCGUUUUCAUCCGAUACAGCAUGUCAGAUUCCUAAUGUUUAGGUGUAGCCUAGGCUGCUGCAACAUCUGUCAUGCAUUUUUGCUUGUGUCUGUCCGGAGUGAUUAAGUGUUAUCCUCUUUGCUUAAUAAAUACCGGAAGAAAGUGGAAAGCCUACCUGAGCCCACGCGAAAAAAAGCCCUGGGUCAACUUCUCUGUAAUAUAACUUUUAAUGGACGAGGCGAUGGAAGAUAUCAAAUCAUUCGGAAUGGUUUUCAACAUCCCAGAAAAGACAGUCGAAAGUUCCAUAUGUUCAGCAAGUAAAGCAUCAUAAUGUGCAAUUACCUCUGCAAGCUCUUGUUAACGGAACUUUUCAUAUCGUAGUGUCCACCUAAAAUAAAAUUAUUGCAUUCCCUGCUUUUGUUUUUUCGUUUAGCUGAACCAUCAAUGUUCUUCAGGUAGGGCUGGGCGAUAUGGCCAAAAUGUAAUUUUUAACCAAAUGUUGCAAUUGCGAUUUAGAUCAAAACACUUGGGUGAACUUUUGGAAUCAUGGAAAUAGAAUGUUUAUUCUUAUUCUAUAGUUAGAAUAUAAAUAAUAGUGGCCACUUUGAAUACAGUGUUGUUUGACAUGACAACGAAUGAAAAUGCCAUGGACGAGUUGUGACAGGUUAGGAACAAAAGUGAUGUUCAGUGUUUCCUAGGGGACCAUAUAAUCUUUGCCUACAUUAAAUCUUUAUUCAUGUAGCCAACAUA